AUCGCUUCUCGGCCUUUGGGCUAAGAUCAAAUGUAGUAUCUGUUCUUAUCAGUUUAAUAUUGAAAAGAAAUGAUGACCAUGGCUACUUAUGUGAGUGUCCUUGUAUUGUGUCUCUCUCAAACAGAAAGCUUUCAACAUGUCACCAUUAAGUAUAAUGAUUGCUGUGGCAUUUUUGUGGAUGCCUUUUA